AUGAAGCUGGAUUCGCUGUAAUCGCGCAUCAGCCACGGCGCGGUGAAUACGUUCCCGGGCCUUGUACACACCGCCCGUCAAGCCAUGGAAGCCGGGAGUGCCUGAAGUACGCGACCGCAAGGAGCGUCCUAAGGUAAAACCGGUGACUGGGGCUAAGUCGUAACAAGGUAAC
rnacentral:rRNA from 1 species